UACGAAGGGGGGCAAGCGUUGUUCGGAAUCACUGGGCGUAAAGGGCGCGUAGGCGGACAUUUAAGUCAGGGGUGAAAUCCCGGGGCUCAACCCCGGAACUGCCCUUGAUACUGGGUGUCUUGAGACCGGAAGAGGUAAGUGGAACUGCGAGUGUAGAGGUGAAAUUCGUAGAUAUUCGCAAGAACACCAGUGGCGAAGGCGGCUUACUGGUCCGGAUCUGACGCUGAGGCGCGAAAGCGUGGGGAGCAAACAGG
rnacentral:rRNA from 1 species